UACGGAGGGAGCUAGCGUUGCUCGGAAAUACUGGGCGUAAAGCGCACGUAGGCGGCGCCGUAAGUCAGGGGUGAAAUCCCGGAGCUCAACUCCGGAACUGCCCUUGAAACUGCAGUGCUAGAAUUCUGGAGAGGCGAGUGGAAUUCCGAGUGUAGAGGUGAAAUUCGUAGAUAUUCGGAAGAACACCAGUGGCGAAGGCGACUCGCUGGACAGACAUUGACGCUGAGGUGCGAAAGCGUGGGGAGCAAACAGG
rnacentral:rRNA from 1 species